AUUGAACGCUAGCGGGAUGCUUUACACAUGCAAGUCGAACGGAGUGGCGGACGGGUGAGUAAUAUAUCGGAACUUGCCCAGUAGCGGGGGAUAACUACUCGAAAGCGUGGCGAAUACCGCAUACUAUUGUAUCGGCCGAUAUCGGAUUAGCUAGUUGGUGGGGUAAAGGCUCACCAAGGCAACGAUCCGUAGCAGGUAUGAGAGGACGACCAGCCAGAGUGGGACUGAGACACGGCCCAGACUCCUACGUGAUGCAGCAGUGGGGAAUUUUGGGCAAUGGGGGAAACCCUGAUUCAGCCAUCCCGCGUGUAUGAUGAAGGCCUUCGGGUUGUAAAGUACUUUUGGCAGAGAAGCGGUAUCUGCAGAAUAAGCAACGGCUAACUACGUGCCAGCAGCCGCGGUAAUUC
rnacentral:rRNA from 1 species